AGUCGAACGGCAGCACAGUAAGAGCUUGCUCUUAUGGGUGGCGAGUGGCGGACGGGUGAGGAAUACAUCGGAAUCUACCUUUUCGUGGGGGAUAACGUAGGGAAACUUACGCUAAUACCGCAUACGACCUUCGGGUGAAAGCAGGGGACCUUCGGGCCUUGCGCGGAUAGAUGAGCCGAUGUCGGAUUAGCUAGUUGGCGGGGUAAAGGCCCACCAAGGCGACGAUCCGUAGCUGGUCUGAGAGGAUGAUCAGCCACACUGGAACUGAGACACGGUCCAGACUCCUACGGGAGGCAGCAGUGGGGAAUAUUGGACAAUGGGCGCAAGCCUGAUCCAGCCAUACCGCGUGGGUGAAGAAGGCCUUCGGGUUGUAAAGCCCUUUUGUUGGGAAAGAAAAGCAGCUGGCUAAUACCCGGUUGUUCUGACGGUACCCAAAGAAUAAGCACCGGCUAACUUCGUGCCAGCAGCCGCGGUAAUACGAAGGGUGCAAGCGUUACUCGGAAUUACUGGGCGUAAAGCGUGCGUAGGUGGUUGUUUAAGUCUGUUGUGAAAGCCCUGGGCUCAACCUGGGAAUUGCAGUGGAUACUGGGCGACUAGAGUGUGGUAGAGGGUAGUGGAAUUUCCGGUGUAGCAGUGAAAUGCGUAGAGAUCGGGAGGAACAUCCAUGGC
rnacentral:rRNA from 1 species